rnacentral:rRNA from 1 species
AGCGAACGCUGGCGGCAGGCCUAACACAUGCAAGUCGAACGAACCUUUCGGGGUUAGUGGCGGACGGGUGAGUAACACGUGGGAACGUGCCUUUAGGUUCGGAAUAACUCAGGGAAACUUGUGCUAAUACCGAAUGUGCCCUUCGGGGGAAAGAUUAAUCGCCUUUAGCGGCCCGCGUCUGAUUAGCUAGUUGGUUGAGGUAAUGGCUCACCAAGGCGACGAUCAGUAGCUGGUCUGAGAGGAUGAUCAGCCACAUUGGGACUGAGACACGGCCCAAACUCCUACGGGAGGCAGCAGUGGGGAAUCUUGCGCAAUGGGCGAAAGCCUGACGCAGCCAUGCCGCGUGAAUGAUGAAGGUCUUAGGAUUGUAAAAUUCUUUCACCGGGGACGAUAAUGACGGUACCCGGAGAAGAAGCCCCGGCUAACUUCGUG